AUACAGAGGGUGCAAGCGUUAUUCGGAAUCACUGGGCGUAAAGGACGCGUAGGCGGGUUGGCAAGUCAGAUGUGAAAUCCUACAGCUUAACUGUAGAACUGCAUUUGAAACUGCUAACCUAGAGUAUGGGAGGGGGAGAUGGAAUUAGUGGUGUAGGGGUAAAAUCCGUAGAUAUCACUAGGAAUACCGAAAGCGAAGGCGAUCUCCUGGAACAUAACUGACGCUAAGGCGUGAAAGCGUGGGGAGCAAACAGGAUUAGAUACCCCAGUAGUCC
rnacentral:rRNA from 1 species